GACGAACGCUGGCGGCGUGCCUAAUACAUGCAAGUCGAACGCUUCUUUCCUCCCGAGUGCUUGCACUCAAUUGGAAAGAGGAGUGGCGGACGGGUGAGUAACACGUGGGUAACCUACCCAUCAGAGGGGGAUAACACUUGGAAACAGGUGCUAAUACCGCAUAACAGUUUAUGCCGCAUGGCAUAAGAGUGAAAGGCGCUUUCGGGUGUCGUUGAUGGAUGGACCCGCGGUGCAUUAGCUAGUUGGUGAGGUAACGGCUCACCAAGGCCACGAUGCAUAGCCGACGUGAGAGGGUGAUCGGCCACACUGGGACUGAGACACGGCCCAGACUCCUACGGGAGGCAGCAGUAGGGAAUCUUCGGCAAUGGACGAAAGUCUGACCGAGCAACGCCGCGUGAGUGAAGAAGGUUUUCGGAUCGUAAAACUCUGUUGUUAGAGAAGAACAAGGACGUUAGUAACUGAACGUCCCCUGACGGUAUCUAAACAGAAAGCCACGGCUAACUACGUG
rnacentral:rRNA from 1 species